rnacentral:rRNA from 1 species
UGGGGAAUAUUGCACAAUGGAGGGAACUCUGAUGCAGCGACGCCGCGUGAGUGAUGAAGGAAUUCGUUUCGUAAAACUCUGUUCUAUGGGAAGAAAAGGACUGUACCAUAGGAGAAAGCUCCGGCUAAAUACGUGCCAGCAGCCGCGGUAAUACGUAUGGAGCGAGCGUUGUCCGGAAUUAUUGGGCGUAAAGGGUGCGCAGGCGGCUUUACAAGUUGGAUGUGAAAUAUUGUGGCUCAACCACAAACGUGCAUCCAAAACUGCAAAGCUUGAGGUAAGGAGAGGUAAGUGGAAUUCCUGGGGUAGCGGUGGAAUGCGUAGAUAUCAGGAGGAAUACCGGUGGCGAAGGCGACUUACUGGACUUAAACUGACGCUCAGACACGAAAGCGUGGGGAGCAAACAGG